CGGGAUGUAGCUCAGCCUGGCUGGAGCGCAGCGUUCGGGACGCUGAGGUCGCUGGUUCAAAUCCAGUCAUCCCGACCA
rnacentral:tRNA from 1 species